rnacentral:rRNA from 1 species
UACGAAGGGGCGAGCGUUGUUCGGAAUUACUGGGCGUAAAGGGCGCGUAGGCGGCCGAUCAAGAUCAGAUGUGAAAAGUCCUGGGGCUUAACCCUGGGGACUGCAUUUGAUACUGAUUGGCUUGAAUAGCAGGACGAGGAUAGCGGAAUUCCCAGUGUAGAGGUGAAAUUCGUAGAUAUUGGGAAGAACACCGGUGCGAAGGCGGCUAUCUGGACUGUGAUUGACGCUGGAGGCGACGAAAGCGUGGGGAGCAAACAGG